rnacentral:rRNA from 1 species
UACAGAGGUCCCAAGCGUUGUUCGGAUUCACUGGGCGUAAAGGGUGCGUAGGUGGUGAGGUAAGUCUGAUGUGAAAUCUCUGGGCUCAACCCAGAAACUGCAUUGGAUACUAUCUCGCUAGAGGAGUGGAGGGGGGACUGGAAUACUUGGUGUAGCAGUGAAAUGCGUAGAUAUCAAGUGGAACACCAGUGGCGAAGGCGAGUCCCUGGACACUUCCUGACGCUGAGGCACGAAGGUCAGGGGAGCAAACGGG